AGAGUUUGAUCCUGGCUCAGGAUGAACGCUAGCUACAGGCUUAACACAUGCAAGUCGAGGGGAAACGAUAUUGGAAGCUUGCUUCCGAUAGGCGUCGACCGGCGCACGGGUGAGUAACGCGUAUCCAACCUGCCCAUCACUUGGGAAUAACCUUGCGAAAGUAAGACUAAUGCCCAAUGACAUUUAUAGAAGGCAUCGGAAAUGAAUUAAAGAUUUAUUGGUGAUGGAUGGGGAUGCGUCUGAUUAGCUUGUUGGCGGGGUAACGGCCCACCAAGGCGACGAUCAGUAGGGGUUCUGAGAGGAAGGUCCCCCACAUUGGAACUGAGACACGGUCCAAACUCCUACGGGAGGCAGCAGUGAGGAAUAUUGGUCAAUGGGCGAGAGCCUGAACCAGCCAAGUAGCGUGCAGGAUGACGGCCCUAUGGGUUGUAAACUGCUUUUAUAGGGGAAUAAAGUGAGCCACGUGUGGUUUUUUGCAUGUACCCUAUGAAUAAGGACCGGCUAAUUCCGUGCCAGCAGCCGCGGUAAUACGGAAGGUCCGGGCGUUAUCCGGAUUUAUUGGGUUUAAAGGGAGCGUAGGCCGGAGAUUAAGCGUGUUGUGAAAUGUAGAUGCUCAACAUCUGCACUGCAGCGCGAACUGGUUUCCUUGAGUACGCAUAAAGUGGGCGGAAUUCGUGGUGUAGCGGUGAAAUGCUUAGAUAUCACGAAGAACUCCGAUUGCGAAGGCAGCUCACUGGGGCGCAACUGACGCUGAAGCUCGAAAGCGCGGGUAUCGAACAGGAUUAGAUACCCUGGUAGUCCGCGCGGUAAACGAUGGAUGCCCGCUGUUGGGCCAACUGGUUCAGCGGCCAAGCGAAAGCAUUAAGCAUCCCACCUGGGGAGUACGCCGGCAACGGUGAAACUCAAAGGAAUUGACGGGGGCCCGCACAAGCAGUGGAUUAUGUGGUUUAAUUCGAAGCAACGCGAAGAACCUUACCGGGUCUUGACAUCCAACUAACGAGAUAGAGAUAUGUCAGGUGCCCUUCGGGGAAAGUUGAGACAGGUGGUGCAUGGUUGUCGUCAGCUCGUGUCGUGAGAUGUUGGGUUAAGUCCCGCAACGAGCGCAACCCCUGCCAUUAGUUGCUACGCAAGAGCACUCUAAUGGGACCGCUACCGACAAGGUGGAGGAAGGUGGGGACGACGUCAAAUCAUCAUGCCCCUUAUGACCUGGGCUACACACGUAAUACAAUGGCCGUUAGCAGAGGGAAGCAAAACCGCGAGGCAGAGCAAAACCCUAAAAACGGUCCCAGUUCGGAUCGCAGGCUGCAACCCGCCUGCGUGAAGUUGGAAUUGCUAGUAAUCGCGGAUCAGCAUGCCGCGGUGAAUACGUUCCCGGGCCUUGUACACACCGCCCGUCAC
rnacentral:rRNA from 1 species